rnacentral:lncRNA from 1 species
GGAUGCUGGCAUAAUGUCACGUACGCAUGGCAUAUGCCAUUCGAUCUGGGGAGCGAAGGAGGGAGCCAUAAAGGAGAUUGGUGUCACACAAGUAUAUCAUCAAGUUGUUGCUUGAAGUCUUGAAUUAGAAGAGUCUUGUAUACAAUCCAUUGACUGCAUCAUGCAUCAUUGAUCCUAGCUAUUCUUAAUAGCUGCUAAAUGCGAACUGGCACAAUAGAAGAGCAUGGCAUGUUUUAAUCACAUUGUUUUGGAUUACUUUCUGGAGAACUAUGUGGGACUAUUAAUUUCAUCAUCCAUCAAUCAGACGGCGUGGUAGGUUCCAAUUUGAAUAUAACGCAAACCACAGACCAGACCAAGCAAGUCCUUCCGUCCUUGACGGAGAUUGGAGAUCGACCACCUCGUCGCCUAUCAUGGAAAGAAUGGAACCCGAGGCGCCG